rnacentral:rRNA from 1 species
GACGAACGCUGGCGGCGUGCUUAACACAUGCAAGUCGAACGAUGAACCCGGAGCUUGCUCCGGUGGAUUAGUGGCGAACGGGUGAGUAACACGUGAGUAACCUGCCCUUGACUCUGGGAUAACUGCGGGAAACUGUAGCUAAUACCGGAUACGACCCUCGGCGGCAUCGCCAGGGGGUGGAAAGAAUUUCGGUCAAGGAUGGACUCGCGGCCUAUCAGCUAGUUGGUGAGGUAACGGCUCACCUAGGCGACGACGGGUAGCCGGCCUGAGAGGGUGACCGGCCACACUGGGACUGAGACACGGCCCAGACUCCUACGGGAGGCAGCAGUGGGGAAUAUUGCACAAUGGGCGCAAGCCUGAUGCAGCGACGCCGCGUGAGGGAUGACGGCCUUCGGGUUGUAAACCUCUUUCAGCACCGACGAAGCGCAAGUGACGGUAGGUGCAGAAGAAGGACCGGCCAACUACGUGCCAGCAGCCGCAGUAA